UACGUGAGGGCGCAAGCGUUGUCCGGAAUUAUUGGGCGUAAAGAGCUCGUAGGCGGCUUGUCACGUCGGGUGUGGAAAGCCCCGGGGGCUUAACCCCGGGUCUGCAGUUCGAUACGGGCUAGCUAGAGGUGUGGUAGGGGAGAUCGGAAUUCCUGGUGUAGCGGUGAAAUGCGUAGAUAUCAAGAGGAACACCUGAGGUGAAGACGGGUUGCUGGGCCGACACUGACGCUGAUAGCGCGAAAGCCAGGGGAGCAAACGGG
rnacentral:rRNA from 1 species